rnacentral:rRNA from 1 species
GAUCCUGGCUCAGGACGAACGCUGGCGGCGUGCCUAACACAUGCAAGUCGAACGGACGAAGGAGCUUCGGCUCCCUAGUUAGUGGCGAACGGGUGAGUAACGCGUGAGCAACCUGCCUUUCAGAGGGGGACAACAGCUGGAAACGGCUGCUAAUACCGCAUAACAUGAUCUAGCCGCAUGACUGGAUCAUCAAAGAUUUAUCGCUGAAAGAUGGGCUCGCGUCUGAUUAG